GGUACGCCUGCCAGUGAACUAUUAAACGGCCGCGGUAUCCUAACCGUGCAAAGGUAGCGUAAUCACUUGCCCCCUAAAUAGGGACCAGUAUGAACGGCUAAAUGAGGAUUAAUCUGUCUCCUUUAACUAACCAGUGAAACUGAUCUUUCGGUUAAAAAGCCGAAAUAAACACAUAAGACGAGAAGACCCUGUGGAGCUUCAAAUUCUAACCAAAACAUGCCAUCACAGCAUACCAUAUGGCCAACAAUUUUAAGUUGGGGUGACUUCGGAACAAAACAAAACUUCCGAGCAAAAAGAACAUAAACUCUAAUCUAGACCAACAAGUCAAAACAAAUAUUGACCCAGUAUUACUGACUAACGAACCAAGUUACCCCAGGGAUAACAGCGCUAUCUUCUUCAAGAGUCCAUAUCGACAAGAAGGUUUACGACCUCGAUGUUGGAUCAGGACACCCAAAUGGUGCAGCAGCUAUUAAAGGUUCGUUUGUUCAACGAUUAAUAGUCCU
rnacentral:rRNA from 1 species